rnacentral:lncRNA from 1 species
CGGAAGCCGCCUCGGGUUUUCUAGCGGAGCGCCGGAUUAGGCAGUCCCCGCCCCGGUGCCCCUGAUUGGGUAGGGCCUCAGGCCCCGCCCCCUCAGACUCUUAGUGACAGGUGACAGCUCCCGCGCGUGUCUGAAUGAGGCAGCGUUCUGGCUACAGCUCUUCUCCAAGAGGGUUUCCUCUCUGGGUUGGGACCCAGCCUUGCCUAGGGGACAUUCAUUUAUAUACACUUAACCUUGUAUACAAUGUUACAUUCAUUUGUGAAUAAUAUAUAUGAUAUUUAAAAUAGGAAACAAUAUAAUAAUAAUUCUUUUAAAAUUUCAGACUUAUUAACCUUCAUGGCCUCUGGUCUUCUGAGGUGGUACUAAAUCUUUCAAAGUCACUCUGCGUUUUAAACUUCCAGCAUGUACCGAUUCAGACCAGCCACAUUCUAGGUGCUAAGUAGACCCCUGUCACGGGAUACUUUUUUUUCAAAGAACACAUUAAUUGCAUGUAAAAUUGCUUGUGGAUUUGUGUAAAUGGUUUUUCAUUCUAGUACACUCCUCUUUUCUUCAGAGGUGUCGAUUAAGCUCAAGACUUUAUAAUCAGUCUUUCGUUUCUUGUUCAUUCAAUGGUAAAUUUUUCCCAUCAUUAUUCAUAAUUAUGUAAAUACCUGGGACUUACAAUAUUUAGAAUAGUCCGAGGUGAAAGCCAACAUAAGGAUGAACUUGAUCUGCAUUAUCUGUUUCCUGAGAGGGCUCGGGAGCUUCACCCUCAGCCCCAGCCACCCAUGGCUGUCACUUCUCACAGUGAGGGCUGAGAUGUGCAUUUAGAUUGAUCAGUUUUUAAUGUAUCAGGUAGGACCCAAUAGUCCUUUGCACUCUGACCCACCUACAGAUAAGCUCUCUGAUUAUGUUCUUCUAUAUUGUUUCUCCCAGGUCAGUACCAUAUUAUUGUAAAUCCUGUGAUUCAUAGUGAAGUUGCCAGAUUCAUCAAGUAAAAAAUAGGACAGAAAAUUAACUUUAAAAUUUAAAUAAACGACAAAUGACUUUUGAGUGCACAAAUAUGUCUUUGUCAAUGAUCAGUAGUUAGAUUCUGAGAGAUAAAUUUCCAAAAGGAAUAAUGAAAAUAAUAUACUUUAGCUGUCAAUUCUAAUCCACAGUAUUGUGAUCCUUCCUUGUGCAGUCUCAACACCAAUGACCUCAAGAGACUUGUUAGAGAGAGACUCCAUCUGAUGAUUCAGCAGAUAAAGUAUUUUUCAGCAUGUGAUUGUUAUUUGUAGAGAGAAGGGUGUGAAAUACAUGGGGUGAACUAAAUAUAUCUUAAGAGAAUAAAACAUCAGAUUUCCUAUUUUAUCUCUUUCUGUUAUAUGGCUUCCAUGUGUUUUAUUAACAAAUUUAUAUGGACAUGUAGUUUAUAAAUAAUUGCACAUAUAUUAAUAGUCCACAUCCAAGUAUUCUUUUACUGGAGCUAUAAUCCCCAAAAGAGAGACCAUUAAGCCUUUAAAUCAACGAUAUCCUGGCUCUUUUCCUGGUUUUAUCAUGACAGCAAAACCAAGUUGUGCUGAGGGUUAAGGUGCGUGUUCAUGGAACUGUCAGUUGUUUGGUUCUGGAAGUGUGUUCCUUUACUAAGAUUUUGCAGAUGUAUUAGCAAUCAUUUCAACAUAUGAGGUUGAAAUGAUUGGCUCAUACAUAUGAGGUUGUUUUAGAGAAAUUUUCUACCUUAGCCGUUAAUUUCUGAGUAAGAGCCAAAAAUACUAAUUGUCACCAUUUCUGCAUUGAGAUAUCUACAUCUACCUAAUCUAUCACCGAUAGCUCCGUACAUGGGAUGGUAUUGUGAUAAGUGACCUUUAAAAUAUAAUUGGACAGCUGCCAUCUCAGAAAAAAACUGAGCGGUGUGGAAUGGUUUUCUAAUUUUUUGUAUCGUUAAGUUGACUUGUUCUAAUCACUGGAUUAAUUUGAUAAAACAAUUAUGCCUGCACCUUGGCCAGUAACAUUAGAGAGUAAUUUCAAAAUUGCUCAGUGAAAUUAUGCCAGGUGUUCUGAUAUUACAGAUAUCCUAAUAAAACUAGAGGGAAACUACCUUUAUUAUUGGAGAAAUAAGUGUUUUCAAAGCAAAAGAGGAGAUCUCUGUAUUAAGUGGAAUCUCAAGAAAAGGAUCAACAUUUGAUCCUUUUGAUGCGACUUUAUGGUUGUCACAAGUGAUUACAACUAGUGUUAUUCUCUUGACAAUUCAGAGCUGGACACUGGGGAUCCUCUGUUGAGAUGUAGGUAAUUUAUUUUUGAGAUGGAAACUAAACUGAAAGAGAGCCAGAGCCAUUUUUAUGUGAUACAGCUAAUAGGGUUUGGUAAGCACAAUAAUGCCCUCCAAAGGUGUCCAUGUUCUAAUUCUCAGAUACAGCAAAUAUACAUUCCAUGGCAAUGGGUAUGAGAAGUUGCACAUGGGAUCAAAAUUGCUAAUUUGUUGGUGAAAAAUAAGGAUACUAUCCUGAAUUACUAUGGUAGGUUCAAACGUCUAAUCAUAAAGGUUCAAAAUGUGAGAGACGAAGAAUUAAAAGCGUUGAAAGAUCGGCAUGUCAGAAAGACAACUAGAUAUUAUUUUUUUCCAUUGUUUUGGUGAUUCUUUCCCUAUUAGCAUAAAUUUUAUUCAGUUCCACUGUGCACAUAUGAUUGGGUAAUUUUAUAUAUUUGUAGCAUCGAUGUGCUAAAUAUAAAAUAAGAAUGCAGAACAAAGAUACGAUUUCUAAAGAGGGAUGCCCAGGUACCAUGGGUAUCUAUACCCAGGAAUAGACAGUGCGCAUCUUAUAAGGGGAAGACUGUGAAUGUGUUGGUAUUUCAUAUACUAAUUGGUGUAGAAAAUGAUGCAGAGGCUGGAUUAUCAAGAAUUUAUAUGAGAUAGGGCUUACCAAGAUUAAGAGGGCAAAACAAUAAAAGUGAUUUGUGAUAAUUUUGACUAAUGCAGAAUUAACAAUGAUGAAGUGAGAUUUUUGGGGGUUUUUCUGAUGUACAAAGCCAAUUUCUGGCCAGGUGAAGUAGCUCACACCUGUAAUUCUAGUGCUUUUGGAGGCCAAGGCAGGAGAAUCACUUUAAAGACAAGCCUGGCAGCAUAGCAAGACUCCAUCCCCACUACACAUUUUUUAACAAUUAGCUUCACCUG